ACCUGAGUAUGCAGAGCUGAAUGUAACAGACAUAGUUUUCAUCUCUUGUGGAGUUUGCAGACCAGUUGAAGAAACAACCAAGUAAACAGAUAUUACUAAAUGGUGACGUACUGGCAUGUAAAUAUUAGUGGUUCCUAAUGGAAUAUAGUUCCUCUAAUGUAACUUAACCAUCUUUAUUAUUUAAAAAAUGAUGGUAUAUUCUCUGAUUGGUGUUAGGUUAAAUCAUGUAGGAGACUGGGGGACCCAGUUUGGCAUGCUCAUCGCUCACCUGCAAGACAAAUUUCCAGAUUAUCUAACUGUUUCACCUCCUAUUGGGGAUCUUCAGGUCUUUUAUAAGGAAUCUAAGAAGAGGUUUGAUACUGAGGAGGAAUUUAAGAAGCGAGCAUAUCAGUGUGUAGUUCUGCUCCAGGGUAAAAACCCAGAUAUUACAAAAGCUUGGAAGCUUAUCUGUGAUGUCUCCCGCCAAGUUAAAUAAAAUCUAUGAUGCAUUGGACGUCUCUUUAAUAGAGAGAGGGGAAUCCUUCUAUCAAGAUAGGAUGAAUGAUAUUGUAAAGGAAUUUGAAGAUAGAGGAUUUGUGCA
rnacentral:sRNA from 1 species